UACAGAGGGUGCGAGCGUUAAUCGGAAUUACUGGGCGUAAAGGGUGCGUAGGCGGCGCGGAAAGUUGGGUGUGAAAUCCCUCGGCUCAACCGAGGAACUGCGCCCAAAACUACCGUGCUCGAGGAAGAUAGAGGUGAGCGGAACUUAGGGUGGAGCGGUGAAAUGCGUUGAUAUCCUAAGGAACACCGGUGGCGAAAGCGGCUCACUGGAUCUUUUCUGACGCUGAGGCACGAAAGCUAGGGUAGCGAACGGG
rnacentral:rRNA from 1 species